rnacentral:rRNA from 1 species
UGGGGAAUAUUGCACAAUGGGCGCAAGCCUGAUGCAGCCAUGCCGCGUGUAUGAAGAAGGCCUUCGGGUUGUAAAGUACUUUCAGCGAGGAGGAAGGCGUUGUGGUUAAUAACCGCAGCGAUUGACGUUACUCGCAGAAGAAGCACCGGGUAACUCCGUGCCAGCAGCCGCGGUAAUACGGAGGGUGCAAGCGUUAAUCGGAAUUACUGGGCGUAAAGCGCACGCAGGCGGUCUGUCAAGUCGGAUGUGAAAUCCCCGGGCUCAACCUGGGAACUGCAUCCGAAACUGGCAGGCUAGAGUCUUGUAGAGGGGGGUAGAAUUCCAGGUGUAGCGGUGAAAUGCGUAGAGAUCUGGAGGAAUACCGGUGGCGAAGGCGGCCCCCUGGACAAAGACUGACGCUCAGGUGCGAAAGCGUGGGGAGCAAACA